ensembl:lncRNA
AUGUGCGAGAAACCUAUUUUGUGUGAUACAAAGUCCUCGAGCGGGAAUAUGGAUUCUGUACAUUGCUGGAAUGGAGCAAAAGGUGACCAGAUCCCCACUAGGGCUAGACCCAUGUCAGACACCUUAUCCAAACUGGCCCAACUGAUCACUUGCAUCGAGUACAAACCAAAACAACAGCGCUCUUCCUUCAUCUGCAAAGACUGCGGCAACAAAUUCUCCGACCAGAAGAGUCUUGAGCGUCACCAGAAAAGAGAGCACGCCCUGCAAAAGCUCCAUUGCUGUCAACAGUGUGGGCAAAAGUUUGCUUUGCUCUCUAGUUUGCAGCUACACAAAUGUUCUCACACCUCAUCCAUGUGCCAGACAUGCAUGGGGAAGCCUCAGAGGGGUUCUUCUUGCCCUUCCUGCGGGACUGAAUCUUCAGAAGAUCCCUUCUAUCAUGACAAUAGCCCCUAUGCGUGCGCUCCAUGCGGACAAGCCUUCAGCCACAAGCAAGAGCUGCUGCACCACCAGCAGGCCGGAGGCUGUCAGCCCGCCAAGACUCCCAAACCUCCUCCACCUUCAGAUGACUCCUUGCCUCCGUCUCCUCCAAGUGCCAACUCAUCUCCUACCACAUGCACUUUGUGUCACAAAACGUUCCGUUCUUCUGCUGGACUUGGUUGCCACAUGCGCUUUUCCGAUGUGCACAUGAAAAGCAGCACAGAGGUGAAAACAGAUGUCAUUGUAAGUACGUUGAAGAAGAAGAAGAAAAAGAAGAAAGAAGUUCUCAUCUCAAGUACGUCGUUUCCAUGCCGUUCCUGUGACAAAUCAUUUCCUAAGACAUCACUCCUCCAUCAGCACAGGAAAGAGGAACACCGGCGGGAGAUAAAGGUGAGGAAGCUGCAGCGAACCUCUUUGAAGACCACCAGGCAAAGGCGGAAAGGUGAAAUAUAUCCAUGCCUCCAUUGUGGAAAAGAGUUCCUGCACCAUCUGACGCGUCGGGCGCAUUUUAGACACUACAGCUCUCACUAUCAGACCCACCUCAAACUGAGCGGCAAAUCAUCCGGCGCUGACGCACCUGUGUUCCACCCAAAGCCAGCUAAGGAGCUCGGACCUCCCCAAGAAAAAAGAUCAAGAGGUAGACCUAGAAUCAAAAAUCUACCUGUUUUGAUGGUAACCAAGCAAAAGGAAGAAGAGCAACUGGAUGAGGAGGAUGAUAAUGAUGAAGACGAGGAUGCCGAGUACCCUUGUACGUCAUGCGACCAGGUCUUUAGUUCCAAAGCUAAGCUGCAUGUCCAUGAGAAAGUGCAUGAGGAAUUCCCCGAGGAAGUCCCCGAGGAACGCCAUCAACCAGCCGCCACGUGCAGGUGUUGUAGUGUGUGUACAGGUGGGAUUCCCCUCGCUGAGAUUCCAGAAGAUUGUGAAAAGAAAGUCUAUCACUGUGUGCCUUGUGCCGAGGCGUUCAUAGCCCUGAACGCUUUUCUAGAGCACUGCCAGACGCAUCUGAUCCGUGAAAAUGAAGAUGAAUUCAGUGAUGAUUGAAAGAGCUUCCAUUUUUUUAAAGGAAUUGUUCACUCAAAAAAAAAAAAUUCAUUUUCUCACCAUCAUAUUCUAAUCAUGUUAACUGUUAUUAUUUUUUCUUACAGAACAUCCUUUUUUUUUUUUUUUUUAAGAACCAUUGCAUACAUUUAGAUAAAAAGCACCUUAAAAGUGCUUCUAAAAUGAAUAUUCUUUAAAUUUUUGUGUAUGCAUAUACAUAUAAUUAUGGAAUUGAAAUUAUUUGGUGAACUAUUCCUUUAAGAAUGAAAUCUCUGUCAUCAUUUACUCACCUAAAUGUUUGUUUUAACCGAAACCUUUUGAUUCCAAUUGACUUCCAUUGUAUUUUUGUCCAUUUAAUGGAAGUCAAUUUCAACUAAAACUGUUACAGACAUUUUUCAUAAUAUCUUCUUGAAUUUUUCACAUAAACAUGCUGACAUAAGGGCGAGUAAAUGAUGACCGGGUUGAAUUUUUUGGGUGAACUGUCCCUUUAAGGGCAGGGAAAUCAUUCUGCAGAUGUUCAGGCUAUCAGGAAUUUUUGUUUUUUGGUAAACCGUCUGAAUAUAAUCACACUUUUUUUUACAGGUUUUGAUUUCUGUGGUUCGUGAGGUAUAAUGUUGUACACAGGAUAACUCACUUCCACCAAUCUGAGCCAAACUGCCAGAAUAAAUAAUAGAAGCCUUUGAUAAGAUCGACA